UUUUUUCCCCGUAUUCAUUUCAUCAAAAGUCGCUCGUUUGAACACCGCCGUACUCGGAUUUCACGACAGUGGCAAGCGUACCUAAACUAUAUCAACUUAUUUCGUCGUUUUAUUUCCGCAUAAACAUCGGCUUGGUGGGGAGCGAAAUCCAAGGUUUACGCGAUUCCCGCAGCGAAUUGUGGCGCUACGUUCAACAGGAAGUCGCGUCACCAUACACGUGGAAGUUUUGAGGGUUAGCGCCAUCUGUUAUUGGAAAGAUUAACUUCAAAAAAAUGUCUAAUAUAAUUUAAAUUCAUGUAUUAUUAUUAAAUAAAAGAUACAUUCUAUUUUCUAAGCUUA